rnacentral:rRNA from 1 species
GACGACGCUGGCGGCGUGGAUUAGGCAUGCAAGUCGAACGGUAUCAUCCUUUCGGGGGUGAGAGAGUGGCGAACUGGUGAGUAACACGUAGGUUAUCUACCCUCAAGACGGGGACAACCCGGGAAACUUGGGCUAAUACCGGAUGUGAGCAACUUUUAGUUGUUUGAAAGGUGGCGUAAGCUGUCGCUUGGGGAUGAGCCUGCGUCCUAUUAGUUAGUUGGUGAGGUAACGGCUCACCUAGGCAAUGAUAGGUAGGCGGCCUUAACGGGUGGUCGCCCACACUGGGAUUGAGAUACGGCCCAGACUCCUACGGGAGGCAGCAGUCGAGAAUAGUCUACAAUGGUCGGAAGACUGAUAGUGCGACGCCGCGUGAACGAUGAAUCCCUUCGGGGUGUAAAGUUCUUUUAUAUGUGAGCAGUGCUUCUUAUAUUAACAGUAUGGGGAGAGAGAUAUUAGCAUAUGAAUAAGCAACGGCUAACUCCGUG